rnacentral:rRNA from 1 species
CCGGAACAGAGUGACAGGUGCUGCAUGGCUGUCGUCAGCUCGUGUCGUGAGAUGUUGGGUUAAGUCCCGCAACGAGCGUAACCCUUGUCUUUAGUUGCCAGUAUUCAGUUAGGCACUCUAAAGAGACUGCCUCGGUUAACGGGGAGGAAGGUGGGGAUGACGUCAAGUCCUCAUGGCCUUUAUACCCAGGGCCACACACGUGCUACAAUGGGCUGUACAAAGGGUUGCUAUCCCGUGAGGGGGCGCUAAUCCCAAAAGCAGUCCUAAGUUCGGAUUGAAGUCUGCAACUCGACUCAUGAAGUUGGAAUCGCUAGUAAUCGUGGAUCAGCACGCCACGGUGAAUACGUUCCCGGGCCUU